UCUCCGUUGGUGAACCAGCGGAGGGAUCAUUACAGAGUUGUAAAACUCCCAAACCCAUGUGAACAUACCUGUUGCCUCGGUGGCCUACCCGGUAGCUACCCUGUAGCUACCCUGUAGUCCGCCGACGGAACUUAAAACUCUUGUUUUCAAUUGUCAUUUCUGAGUUUACUGUACUGUAAUAAGUCAAAACUUUCAACAACGGAUCUCUUGGUUCUG
rnacentral:misc_RNA from 1 species